AGGUCUUGACAUCCCGAUGCUAUUUCUAGAGAUAGAAAGUUACUUCGGUACAUCGGUGACAGGUGGUGCAUGGUUGUCGUCAGCUCGUGUCGUGAGAUGUUGGGUUAAGUCCCGCAACGAGCGCAACCCCUAUUGUUAGUUGCCAUCAUUCAGUUGGGCACUCUAGCGAGACUGCCGGUAAUAAACCGGAGGAAGGUGGGAUGACGUCAAAUCAUCAUGCCCCUUAUGACCUGGGCUACACACGUGCUACAAUGGUUGGUACAACGAGUUGCGAGUCGGUGACGGCGAGCUAAUCUCUUAAAGCCAAUCUCAGUUCGGAUUGUAGGCUGCAACUCGCCUACAUGAAGUCGGAAUCGCUAGUAAUCGCGGAUCAGCACGCCGCGGUCGAAUACGUUCCCGGGCCUU
rnacentral:rRNA from 1 species